GUGGGGAAUAUUGGACAAUGGGCGAAAGCCUGAUCCAGCCAUGCCGCGUGUGUGAAGAAGGUCUUCGGAUUGUAAAGCACUUUAAGUUGGGAGGAAGGGCAGUAAGUUAAUACCUUGCUGUUUUGACGUUACCGACAGAAUAAGCACCGGCUAACUUCGUGCCAGCAGCCGCGGUCAUACGAAGGGUGCAAGCGUUAAUCGGAAUUACUGGGCGUAAAGCGCGCGUAGGUGGUUUUGUAAGUUGGAGGUGAAAUCCCCGGGCUCAACCUGGGAACUGCCACCAAAACUGCAUGACUAGAGUACGGUAGAGGGUAGUGGAAUUUCCUGUGUAGCGGUGAAAUGCGUAGAUAUAGGAAGGAACACCAGUGGCGAAGGCGACUACCUGGACUGAUACUGACACUGAGGUGCGAAAGCGUGGGGAGCAAACAGGAUUAGAAACCCUUGUAGUCC
rnacentral:rRNA from 1 species